GACAGAGGGUGCAAACGUUGUUCGGAAUUACUGGGCGUAAAGCGUGUGUAGGCGGCUAUGUAAGUCGGAUGUGAAAGCCCUGGGCUCAACCCAGGAAGUGCACUCGAUACUGCGUAGCUUGAGUACCGGAGAGGUUGGUGGAAUUCUCGGUGUAGAGGUGAAAUUCGUAGAUAUUCGCAAGAACACCAGUGGCGAAGGCGGCUCACUGGCCCGGAACUGACGCUGAGACGCGAAAGCGUGGGGAGCAAACAGG
rnacentral:rRNA from 1 species